AUCGCUUUUCAGGCUUUUGGCUAAGAUCAAGUGUAGUAUCUGUUCUUAUCAGUUUAAUAUAUCUAGGAAAAUAGAUGUAUAAGGUAAAGAAUUUCAUUGAAGAAUUUUA
ensembl:snRNA U2 U2 spliceosomal RNA